rnacentral:rRNA from 1 species
CGAGCGGUAGAGAAGUGCUUGCACUUCUUGAGAGCGGCGGACGGGUGAGUAAUGCCUAGGAAUCUGCCUAGUGGUGGGGGAUAACGUUCGGAAACGGACGCUAAUACCGCAUACGUCCUACGGGAGAAAGCGGGGGACCUUCGGGCCUCGCGCCAUUAGAUGAGCCUAGGUCGGAUUAGCUAGUUGGUGAGGUAAAGGCUCACCAAGGCGACGAUCCGUAACUGGUCUGAGAGGAUGAUCAGUCACACUGGAACUGAGACACGGUCCAGACUCCUACGGGAGGCAGCAGUGGGGAAUAUUGGACAAUGGGCGAAAGCCUGAUCCAGCCAUGCCGCGUGUGUGAAGAAGGUCUUCGGAUUGUAAAGCACUUUAAGUUGGGAGGAAGGGCAGUAACUUAAUACGUUGCUGUUUUGACGUUACCGACAGAAUAAGCACCGGCUAACUCUGUGCCAGCAGCCGCGGUAAUACAGAGGGUGCAAGCGUUAAUCGGAAUUACUGGGCGUAAAGCGCGCGUAGGUGGUUUGUUAAGUUGGAUGUGAAAGCCCCGGGCUCAACCUGGGAACUGCAUCCAAAACUGGCAAGCUAGAGUACAGUAGAGGGUGGUGGAAUUUCCUGUGUAGCGGUGAAAUGCGUAGAUAUAGGAAGGAACACCAGUGGCGAAGGCGACCACCUGGACUGAUACUGACACUGAGGUGCGAAAGCGUGGGGAGCAAACAGGAU